GUAGUAGGACAAAGUUCCCAGACAUCUUUAUUUAACAAGUGCAUGAUGCCAGGCUCAGACGUUUAGUUCUCAGUUAAGAAACAUGGAGCAGAGGCUGAUGCUUAGAACAAUCUUUUAUGUGAAAUGUGUUAGCAGCUUUUGCACCAAUGUCUCCGAAAACCCUCACAGAGGUACAAAGGCAUUAAACAACAGGGACAACUCUACAACUUGCACUGGCCUCAAAAGUCUGAGAGAGAAAGAUGUGUGAAGAAAGAAGCUGCCAAGUUCCUAAAUGGGAGCUGUGACUUUAGGCAAUAAAAUUUCACUUCUCCCUUUUCGAAUUUCCUGCCUUGCAAGGUAAGUUCAAAGGACUGGCACUGGAUUUUGGAAACUGUUGUGCAGAAAGAGGAAAAAAUACAGCCUUAAUUCAAAGUUAGUACUAAAGUAAGGAAAUUCAGACACCAAACUGUGCUCUUAAUGGAGAACUAAUAGAUGUUAAUUAACCGCCAAUUGACAAAAAAACAUAUUUACUGUAGUUUAACAGCUCCGCAAA